AAGUUUUGCUGGAAUAGUCUCUCUCUCUCUCUCUCUCUCUCUCUC
rnacentral:sRNA from 1 species